UAGGGAAUCUUCCGCAAUGGACGCAAGUCUGACGGAGCAACGCCGCGUGAGUGAAGAAGGAUUUCGGUUCGUAAAACUCUGUUGUUAGAGAAGAACAGCGCAUAGAGUAACUGUUAUGCGUGUGACGGUAUCUAACCAGAAAGCCACGGCUAACUACGUGCCAGCAGCCGCGGUAAUACGUAGGUGGCAAGCGUUGUCCGGAUUUAUUGGGCGUAAAGCGAGCGCAGGCGGUCAAUUAAGUCUGAUGUGAAAGCCCCCGGCUCAACCGGGGAGGGUCAUUGGAAACUGGUUGACUUGAGUGCAGAAGAGGAGAGUGGAAUUCCAUGUGUAGCUGUGAAAUGCGUAGAUAUAUGGAGGAACACCAGUGGCGAAGGCGACUAUCUGGUCUGUAACUGACGCUGAGGCUCGAAAGCGUGGGUAGCAAACAGG
rnacentral:rRNA from 1 species